rnacentral:rRNA from 1 species
UACGUAGGGGGCUAGCGUUGUCCGGAAUCAUUGGGCGUAAAGAGCGUGUAGGCGGUCCGGUAAGUCCGCUGUGAAAGUCGGGGGCUCAACCCUCGAAUGCCGGUGGAUACUGUCGGGCUAGAGUGCGGAAGAGGAGUGUGGAAUUCCUGGUGUAGCGGUGAAAUGCGCAGAUAUCAGGAGGAACACCAAUGGCGAAGGCAGCACUCUGGGACGGUACUGACGCUGAGACGCGAAAGCGUGGGGAGCAAACAGG